rnacentral:ncRNA from 1 species
GAGAGCCAAAUGAAUCGAAAGGUUCAUGUUUGGUUCGGGAAGGGAUCUUGGAAUUUUUUAAAUAAAAAAAAUGAAUGGAAAGAUAAUCUACUUUCAU